CUGAGAUUGUGCAGAUAAUACGCAGCACUUACAAGGUCCUUCCUGAUUGGCUACCGGAAGUCAUUGUUUUACGAUGGGCGGUCGCCAAGUCACAAUUCACCCUCCAUACUCUGUUUUGCAGCCAAUCUUCUCUAAAAUCCUGGUUAAUUCCCCUUCUCUUCCAUAAUUGCUUUUCCUGUAUCUUACUACAAGCUUUAUUCAUUGAAAGACCAAACAAUACUCACCUAGAACGUAAACAGCACCAGAGUUUUUUUUAACAAAAAGGUAAAAGGAAAAGAUGUGACGUUUGACGUUGAAAAUUGAAUCUGUAUUGUUUGAACCGGACAAGCUUAGCCUGUCAUAUAACCUCAUAUUCUCCAAAGCAAAAAUACACUCAUUAUCCGUGAAUUCCAUUGCUUUAAAGUGCACCUGAAGGAAUAAAAGCAAUAUCCUCCAAAACGGUUCAUCCAUCGAUAUCUAAUAUCUGCUAUGAUAGAAAAAUCUUAAUUACCAAAAAUCCUCGAUUUCCCAUAAUCCCCGAUUUUUUAGAGCCUUUUGAAUAUACCAGUCUGUAAAACACCUACUUGCCCAGUCCCCUCACGGAUAAAGCUCGAGUUGGCGCGAAAUGAUCAC